rnacentral:Y_RNA from 1 species
GACGCCGAAGGUGGUGAGUUAUCUUAAUUGAUUGUUCAGUCAGUUACAGAUUGAACUCCUUGUUCUUCUACUCUUUCCCCCCUCCUCACUACUGCACUAGACUAGUCUUUA